UUGGCUCAGGAUGAACGCUGGCGGCGUGCCUAACACAUGCAAGUCGAGCGAUGAACGGAUGGACAAGGCUUCGGCCAAGGAAAUCUGUUCAGAGCGGCGGAUGGGUGAGGAACGCGUGGGGAACCUGCCUUUCACCGGGGGAUACCAGCUGAAAACGGCUGUUAAUACCGCAUAUGCUCACAGUGCCGCAUGGCACAGGGAGGAAAACUCCGGUGGUGAAAGAUGGACCCGCGUCGGAUUAGUUAGUUGGCGGGGUAACGGCCCACCAAGACGAUGAUCCGUAGCCGGCCUGAGAGGGCGACCGGCCACAUUGGGACUGAGACACGGCCCAAACUCCUACGGGAGGCAGCAGUGGGGAAUA
rnacentral:rRNA from 1 species